GACGAACGCUGGCGGCGUGCUUAACACAUGCAAGUCGAGCGGUAAGGCCCGUUUCGGGGGUACACGAGCGGCGAACGGGUGAGUAACACGUGGGUGACCUGCCCUCAGCUCGUGGGAUAAGCCCGGGAAACUGGGUCUAAUACUGGAUAUGACUCCACGGUGCAUGCCGUGGGGUGGAAAGCCUUGUGCGGCUGAGGAUGGGCCCGCGGCCUAUCAGCUUGUUGGUGGGGUGANGGCCUACCAAGGCGACGACGGGUAGCCGGCCUGAGAGGGCGACCGGCCACACUGGGACUGAGACACGGCCCAGACUCCUACGGGAGGCAGCAGUGGGGAAUCUUGCGCAAUGGGCGAAAGCCUGACGCAGCGACGCCGCGUGAGGG
rnacentral:rRNA from 1 species